AGCGAACGCUGGCGGCAGGCCUAACACAUGCAAGUCGAACGAACCUUUCGGGGUUAGUGGCGGACGGGUGAGUAACACGUGGGAACGUGCCUUUAGGUUCGGAAUAACUCAGGGAAACUUGUGCUAAUACCGAAUGUGCCCUUCGGGGGAAAGAUUUAUCGCCUUUAGAGCGGCCCGCGUCUGAUUAGCUAGUUGGUUGAGGUAAUGGCUCACCAAGGCGACGAUCAGUAGCUGGUCUGAGAGGAUGAUCAGCCACAUUGGGACUGAGACACGGCCCAAACUCCUACGGGAGGCAGCAGUGGGGAAUCUUGCGCAAUGGGCGAAAGCCUGACGCAGCCAGGCCGCGUGAAUGAUGAAGGUCUUAGGAUUGUAAAAUUCUUUCACCGGGGACGAUAAUGACGGUACCCGUAGAAGAAGCCCCGGCUAACUUCGUG
rnacentral:rRNA from 1 species